rnacentral:rRNA from 1 species
AGCGAACGCUGGCGGCGUGCUUAACACAUGCAAGUCGAGCGAAGGUGUUUCAAGGGUAACCUUGAGAUACACUUAGCGGCGGACGGGUGAGUAAUACGUGGAUAACUUACCUCUAGGCCUGGGAUAACCCCGGGAAACUGGGGCUAAUACCUGGAUAAGACCACAUUGUACUACGGACAAAGGGGUAAAGGUGGCUGUGCAAACAGCUAUCGCCAAAAGAUAGGUUCACGUCCCAUCAGGCAGUUGGCGAGGUAAUGGCUCACCAAACCAAAGACGGGUAGCCGGCCUUGGC